UGGGAAGUGAUGACACCUAUGACUGUUGAUGUGGCAGUGAUUUCUCUGAUAUUCGUACUGGCUGAUCCUG
ensembl:snoRNA